rnacentral:rRNA from 1 species
GCUUAUGCGUUGUUGGGUAGGGGAGCGUUCUGUAAGCCUGUGAAGGUGUGUCGUGAGGCAUGCUGGAGGUAUCAGAAGUGCGAAUGCUGACAUAAGUAACGAUAAAGCGGGUGAAAAGCCCGCUCGCCGGAAGACCAAGGGUUCCUGUCCAACGUUAAUCGGGGCAGGGUGAGUCGACCCCUAAGGCGAGGCCGAAAGGCGUAGUCGAUGGGAAACGGGUUAAUAUUCCCGUACUUGGUGUUACUGCGAAGGGGGGACGGAGAAGGCUAUGUUGGCCGGGCGACGGUUGUCCCGGUUUAAGCGUGUAGGCUGGUUUUCCAGGCAAAUCCGGAAAAUCAAGGCUGAGGCGUGAUGACGAGGCACUACGGUGCUGAAGCAACAAAUGCCCUGCUUCCAGGAAAAGCCUCUAAGCAUCAGGUAACAUCAAAUCGUACCCCAAACCGACACAGGUGGUCAGGUAGAGAAUACCAAGGCGCUUGAGAGAACUCGGGUGAAGGAACUAGGCAAAAUGGUGCCGUAACUUCGGGAGAAGGCACGCUGACACGUAGGUGAAGUGAUUUACUCAUGGAGCUGAAGUCAGUCGAAGAUACCAGCUGGCUGCAACUGUUUAUUAAAAACACAGCACUGUGCAAACACGAAAGUGGACGUAUACGGUGUGACGCCUGCCCGGUGCCGGAAGGUUAAUUGAUGGGGUCAGCGCAAGCGAAGCUCCUGAUCGAAGCCCCGGUAAACGGCGGCCGUAACUAUAACGGUCCUAAGGUAGCGAAAUUCCUUGUCGGGUAAGUUCCGACCUGCACGAAUGGCGUAAUGAUGGCCAGGCUGUCUCCACCCGAGACUCAGUGAAAUUGAACUCGCUGUGAAGAUGCAGUGUACCCGCGGCAAGACGGAAAGACCCCGUGAACCUUUACUAUAGCUUGACACUGAACAUUGAGCCUUGAUGUGUAGGAUAGGUGGGAGGCUUUGAAGUGUGGACGCCAGUCUGCAUGGAGCCGACCUUGAAAUACCACCCUUUAAUGUUUGAUGUUCUAACGUGGACCCGUGAUCCGGGUUGCGGACAGUGUCUGGUGGGUAGUUUGACUGGGGCGGUCUCCUCCUAAAGAGUAACGGAGGAGCACGAAGGUUGGCUAAUCCUGGUCGGACAUCAGGAGGUUAGUGCAAUGGCAUAAGCCAGCUUGACUGCGAGCGUGACGGCGCGAGCAGGUGCGAAAGCAGGUCAUAGUGAUCCGGUGGUUCUGAAUGGAAGGGCCAUCGCUCAACGGAUAAAAGGUACUCCGGGGAUAACAGGCUGAUACCGCCCAAGAGUUCAUAUCGACGGCGGUGUUUGGCACCUCGAUGUCGGCUCAUCACAUCCUGGGGCUGAAGUAGGUCCCAAGGGUAUGGCUGUUCGCCAUUUAAAGUGGUACGCGAGCUGGGUUUAGAACGUCGUGAGACAGUUCGGUCCCUAUCUGCCGUGGGCGCUGGAGAACUGAGGGGGGCUGCUCCUAGUACGAGAGGACCGGAGUGGACGCAUCACUGGUGUUCGGGUUGUCAUGCCAAUGGCACUGCCCGGUAGCUAAAUGCGGAAGAGAUAAGUGCUGAAAGCAUCUAAGCACGAAACUUGCCCCGAGAUGAGUUCUCCCUGAGACUUAAAGUCUCCUGAAGGAACGUUGAAGACGACGACGUUGAUAGGCCGGGUGUGUAAGCGCAGCGAUGCGUUGAGCUAACCGGUACUAAUGAACCGUGAGGCUUAACCUU